UGGACCCUGACUUUGUCUGCACUAAAAUCCGAGCUUGUGACUCAGACCUGACCUCAACCCCUUGUGCCCAAGGACCUGACUACUGGUGCACCAGCAUGGCCACAGCCACUGAGUGUGACGCUGUGGAGCACUGCAGGCAGCAUGUGUGGAACUAGGAGCAUCUCCACCCUGGACCCUCCCUCCCUUGGGAUGCAGCCACAGCACCAGGGAUGGGGUGUCCCAGAGGCUCCCUGCUGCGCUCUGGGGCAC